UACGUAGGGUGCGAGCGUUAAUCGGAAUUACUGGGCGUAAAGUGUGCGCAGGCGGCAGAGCAAGUCGAGUGUGAAAGCCCCGGGCUUAACUUGGGAAUUGCGCUCGAAACUACUUUGCUGGAGUGUGGCAGAGGAAGGUGGAAUUCCACGUGUAGCGGUGAAAUGCGUAGAGAUGUGGAGGAACACCAAUGGCGAAGGCAGCCUUCUGGGCCAACACUGACGCUCAUGCACGAAAGCGUGGGAGCAACAGG
rnacentral:rRNA from 1 species